ACGCUGGCGGCGUGCCUAAUACAUGCAAGUCGAACGAGUUCUCGUUGAUGAUCGGUGCUUGCACCGAGAUUCAACAUGGAACGAGUGGCGGACGGGUGAGUAACACGUGGGUAACCUGCCCUUAAGUGGGGGAUAACAUUUGGAAACAGAUGCUAAUACCGCAUAGAUCCAAGAACCGCAUGGUUCUUGGCUGAAAGAUGGCGUAAGCUAUCGCUUUUGGAUGGACCCGCGGCGUAUUAGCUAGUUGGUGAGGUAAUGGCUCACCAAGGCGAUGAUACGUAGCCGAACUGAGAGGUUGAUCGGCCACAUUGGGACUGAGACACGGCCCAAACUCCUACGGGAGGCAGCAGUAGGGAAUUUUCCACAAUGGACGCAAGUCUGAUGGAGCAACGCCGCGUGAGUGAAGAAGGCUUUCGGGUCGUAAAACUCUGUUGUUGGAGAAGAAUGGUCGGCAGAGUCGCUGUUGUCGGCGUGACGGUAUCCAACCAGAAAGCCACGGCUAACUACGUGCCAGCAGCCGC
rnacentral:rRNA from 2 species